AUUCUCGUCGAAUCGUUGCUGGGUAGAUUGCUCGUAGAAUUCCUCGAGGUGUAAAAGUAAUCGUAGCGGGAGUAAUAAGGGAGGACAACGUGUCACAGCGAACCGAAUUUAACAAGGAUUUUUAUCGGAUGCGAAUCACAGGCGAGAAAUGGAAAAACAAUCGUAUCGAAUGACUUCUGACCGCGCUAACUCAGAUUCCCUUCGUCUUAAAGAACGAAACCCUUUCCGCUAGACGCUCUUUGUCAAACGAUUCACCGAGGAACCCGAGAUUAACUUGAACGGCGAGGAAGCAAAAUAGCUGAAUAGGAACGUCCGCGCUAUGCGUGCUCUAAUAAUCAUACUUGAAGAAAAAGGGACGCGUGCGUGACAAGACCUAAACUCGAAAGGGGGUAAAGAAUAGACCGGGAGCGCGAGGAAGAACGAAACUAUUAAACGUGUACCGCUAAACAUAAUCUAUACAUAUUUAAAACUAUCGAAUGCUAAAGUCAUAUUCGUAAUACCACAGCAAACGGGAGAAUAAAUAAACUAAACUAAAGGAAUGAAUAAUCGAUUAACCGAAUAUUAAACGCUAGUCUGUAAUCGAUAGUCACGUAGUUAUAACUUCGAGCAGUAUCUAUAGGGAUGAUUCAGAGGUAGUCUAUUAGAGAUUAGGGUCGCAAUCGAGAUGAUUUUCUCUACGAAACUCUAAUGAAAGGAAGCUAAUAACUAAUUAUCUCCAGAGUAACCUAUUGAACUUAACGAAGCCGCGUAUGCGUGACACGUGAACACGUCGACGUGAACGGAAGACCGGAGGGGUAGAGGGAACGAGGUGUAGAGCAGAAUGGUUUUUCUCAGAUGGCGAGCCUGAGGAAACGACAGAGAGACGAGAUGGAAAAUAACAAAUUUGCACGAAUCUCUUUCUUCUCUACCUAAUCCCCUUUCUUCCCUGCUAUAUAUUUUAACGAACAAUUGUCUCUUGUUGUCCACCGUUACACCAGACGUCGAAGUCGUUACCAAACCGAAUAAUCCUGUGCGAGAAUAGAACGAAGAGUAAAUCGAAAAAUUACGAGAGUGAUAGCUAGCGAGAAAGAACGAGCGAGAGGGAGGGAAAGAAAGGGAGAAUGAACGCGACGAGUGAGAGCAAGAAAGCGUGUGAGAGAGAAAGGGAGAGAGAGAGAACGAGAGAAAGAGAGAAAGAAGAGAUAUAAUCUUUGCGUUACCUUGCAAAUUAUAGAAGGAAAAAAAAAGAAAACUGAUGGAAAAUAAAAUAUUGAAAAAGAUACUCCCUUUUCCGUAGACCCUGGUGGGACGAUGCAAUUGAACUGACUCACCCUCGAUCUCACUUGAUUUUUAAUUAUGCCUCGACAACAGCCUGGCCUGAUAUUAGUAAAUUCAUAUUGAAGAACGUUAAAUAAGGCUCUUUUUCGAGGCAGAAACGUUGAUCGAUAUGAAAAUCCCUGUUAACUGGUGAGCACAUAAUCGCCGCAUUGUAAUAUUAUUAACAUUAUUACGUUAUUAUGAAAUUGUUGAAAUAAAUGAAAUGAAAAUAAA